UUAUUUGUUCAGGUGGGUGUCUGCUUGCUCCAUGGCCUGCUUUCUAUAACUAGUUCCUACCUUCUCAUCUCUCAGACAUUUCUUCUCCUCAUCCCUCAACCCACAUGGCAAAUUUAUGCAUAAAAACAAAAUAUGUAUCCAGGAAGUUAGCUCAAUGGUAGAACACUUACCUAGCAUGUGUGAAGCCUUGGCUUUCAUCCCAACACCAAAAAUAUCAUUCAUACUUAUUUUGUGUCUUCCAGAAAUUAAAUCUUUAGUUACAAAAUUCACUUUGUACUCUCAUCAUUCAAGUAUCCCCUCUGGAAUGUUUAUUAUGUUUCUUUUCUUCUUGAUGAGUCUCUUUAUUUUAAUGUUAUCUUUAUUUCAUCUCUAGCAGAUUGGAAUAGUCUAUAGACUCUACCUUUGAGUAAUUUGCUCUGUAAUAGUGAUUUGGUUACAUUUAUCAGUUUUUUUUUUCUAUUUAGAAAGAAGAUUACUGAGAGUGGUGGUUGUGGUGCAUGUCUUCUUCUCAACAAAGCAGGCUGAAGUAGGAGGAUCUUGAGUUCAAGGCCAGCCUUGACAAUAUAGGGAUCCAUGUUGCCAUAAUGCAAGAUCAAGAGGACUAGAAGAAAUCUUUUUGUUCUUUAUAUUAUUUCUGGAUGAUCUGUAGACUCAAAAAUGCUGAAUUGGAUAUAGACUGAAAUUCCUCAUCCAAGGCCUGUGACUCAGUGGAUGCACAAUAAUCUUGGCUCUGUCUCUUUUGACUGUUCCACAGAUGGGGUUGGACUUGGUAGACUAGGCCAGCCAGAACAUAUAAUCCUCCUGACUUAAGACUCCUGAGUACUGGGAAUACAGGAGUUUGUUUUAUAAUAAAAAUAUAUCAUGGAUCUGGGAAGCAAAACCUUGGUGAUGACAUUUGGACAACUGCCAACUUUUUUUUUCACUGUGCACCUGCAGUCCUUCUAUGUUGAUUAUUUUGCAUAUAUGUGAGUAUAUACAUUCUAGGAAUGGAAAUCCUGGCUUAAAAUACAUUUUCGGUUUUGCUA